UACGUAGGGGGGCGAGCGUUGUCCGGAUUUAUUGGGCGUAAAACGCUUGUAGGCGGCCACAUCGCGUCGUGCCGUGAAAUCUGCCCGGCUCAACUGGGAGGGGUCGUGCGAUACGGAUGGGCUCGAGGCCGGUAGGGGGACGCGGAAUUCCCGGUGUAGUGGUGGAAUGCGUAGAUAUCGAGAGGGAACACCUGCGGCGAAGGCGGGUUGCUGGGCUGAUACUGACGCUGAGGCGCGAAAGCCAGGGGAGCGAACGGG
rnacentral:rRNA from 1 species